rnacentral:lncRNA from 1 species
GGUUUGAGUUGGAAAGGACCUGAAAGAUCAUAGAACCAUAGAAUGGUUCGGAUUGGAAGGAAGAUCCUAUGAUCCUAUGAUAAGGAAGGGACCUUAAAGAUCAUGGAGCUGCCAAAUGGUUUGGGUUGGAAGGGACCUGAAAGAUCAUAGGGCCAUAGAAUGACUUGGGUUGGAAGGGGCCUUAAAGAUCAUGGGAUCACUGAAUGGCUUGGGUUGGAAAUGACCUGAAAGAUCACAGAACCCACGUAGACAAAGCCCAGGAAUGCAUUGUGAAGGCAAAGGGAUGCUCAGUGCUGGUCCACCUGGCUGUGCUGGCUGCAUUUCGGGCUCUGCAGCUCCCAGCCACUCCCUGUAUGGGUUCUGCUGGAAGGGUUUGCUGCAGACACAGGGCUGCAGCCCUCGUAUUGGCUCCUUGCAUCAGGGUAUGUGUGUGUGUCCCCUCUCAGUGGUUGGGAGUUGGGUCCUGGGGGCUGAGUGCUCAUGUUUGUGCGUUCUGAGUGCUGCCUCUGCCCUGCAGAGGGGGUGGGUGCAAGGCUGCAAGCUGAGCUGGGUCCUGGGGUGCUCCCAAGGUGGAGAGCACAGGGGUGGGACCCAUCUCCAACCCAUCACCUCAGCAGGAUGAGCCCCCCCCGUGUCUCACCACCCCACCCCAUGGGCCCCCAGUGUGCCCAAUGGCACCCCCAGGGAUGGCAUCAGGGGGCGAGGGGGUUCCCUUCCCCUCUGCAGCCCCUCCAGGUGGGUUGAUGCCCUCUUCUCCCCCACGAGGCUCUCGAGACAAAAGCCACACCAACCACUUUUAUUUCAAAACACGAAAUGAAAU